GUAAAUCAUGCUGCUCGAUUCAUGGCCCCCUCCUAGCAAGAAUUCAGAGAUAGGGCCAAAGUGACAAUCAGAUUCUUUCCAUGAUGCUAGAAAGAGACAAGAAAAUAACAAAGAGAAUAUUGAUGGUUUUCUGGCUGUCCUGAAUUUGUCUGGCAACAACUUCUCUCCCCAACUCAGUAGCGCAUGAUCGGGCGACGACGGUGCUUCUGUUUGCAGUAACAAGCAUUGAU